UACGUAGGGCGCAAGCGUUGUCCGGAAUUAUUGGGCGUAAAGAGCUCGUAGGUGGCUUGUCACGUCGGGUGUGAAAGCUUGGGGCUUAACUCCAGGUCUGCAUUCGAUACGGGCUGGCUAGAGGUAGGUAGGGGAGAACGGAAUUCCUGGUGUAGCGGUGAAAUGCGCAGAUAUCAGGAGGAACACCGGUGGCGAAGGCGGCUCACUGGACUGGUACUGACGCUGAGGCGCGAAAGCGUGGGGAGCAAACGGG
rnacentral:rRNA from 1 species